UACGCUAACAUUGCUGGCAUUGUCAUUGACUAUCGUAUAGUUGUUGUGCAAGUAGACAAGUGGACCAAAGACGAUACAGUCGCAAUACAAGCUGGAAAACGCCAUCAUGACCAGGAUGCGGACGUGUACUUCGUCAAAGUCAAGAGAUCCCUUGUGGAUGAGAACCUUUUCUGCCACAAGUUUCGUGGAUGUGUGACGGCUGAUCAGUUUUGU